UCUUUUUUUUAGUAUUUUAAAUUCCCGGCAACUCUUAUUUCCAAUAUAACUUCCCCUCGGUUUCUCUAUAAAUGUCACCAAAUGUUCUAUUACUGAGGAAAUAUAUCCCUUAUUUUCCAAGCCCAAUAUUGAAAAAUAAUUUGACUUGCUACACGAUCUAUGCCAGGUCUCUGGGCUAUGGUGAUUUCAAUGGUUAGAUUGAUUUGUUUAGAUCCAGUGAAAAUGCUGCCUUGACAACGCUACGUCAUGGCUUCGGUGUUCCAAAAAGCCUCUGUCAGAAGUCUGUCACUUUUACAGUCUGUGAUAAAACACUUUGUGUACAUGUUGUUGAAACGUUAUGGAUAUUAGAACGUUUUUCAAAAGACCACCCAGCUCCGUUCAAGCAACAGCAUCGCCCAGUGAACUGACGGAUGGUGUUUCAGCAGAGAUUCCCCGAGGAGCCGAUUCCCUCCAUAAUCAUGGGCCCCAACCACAAGGAUGAAAUCCUGAUUACAUGGGUGGAAUGGAAACCAGCUCCGCAGAGGGGCAUGAAAGAAAAUCUCCCAUGUUUGCUUCUUGUCGAGUGAUGUUUCGUAUACCAACAAGUUAAGAAACUUAAACGAUGCAAAUCCUUGGUGACAUCCCCUACGGUGGAGUGCAGUUGAAAUCAAAUACCUGCAGGACUGCAUGCCCUGGAUACUCUCUUGGAAGUUCAUGUUGCAUAGUUUUUGGUGCUGCCUUUUUAUCCUACAAAUACACUGUUUGUGCAUGAAUGAGAUCUACAGUAUAUGAACUAAAAUGUCAUUGAAAUAAAAUGAUUAGUCAACUUACCAUUGACUUCCCAGUAACUCCUGGGCUGUAGGAAGCAGGACUGGAGUCUUAGAUGCCCUGGAGUGCAGAUGCAGGGGUUGCAAGAUGUUACCCUGGCCCUCAGGAGUCUGCCAGCAUUGAUGUAAAAACUUCUGGCUAGUGAGACAGGGCCACUGUGAGCAGAGUGCAAAUUACCCCACCAUAAUUGGAGGGUACUGCUCCUUCACUUC